rnacentral:tRNA from 7 species
GGCCCGUUGGUCAAGUGGUUAAGACACCGCCCUUUCACGGCGGUAACACGGGUUCGAAUCCCGUACGGGUC